rnacentral:lncRNA from 1 species
CACUGCACUCCAGCUUGGGUGACAGUGCGAGACUCCAUCUCAAAAAAAAAAAAAAAAGAAAUUGUACUAUCCAAGUUCAUAAAACCAUCCUAAUUCCAAAAAAAAAAAAAAGCAAUCAGAGGCUGAAGUGGAAGCAUGGCCCCUGAUGAAUAAGAGGCAUUUCUCGUUUGUGAUGUAGGGGAGAGGGGGUUUUGUAGAGGGAGGAGCCUCUGGCCUCUUGUCACUUGGGCAUGCAGAGGUGGGGUUUUCCUUUCAGCCCAGUUCGAAGAAGAAAGCCAUGGGUUGGCCUUAGGCUCCUUGUCUCCAGACCCUAUUCUCCUGCCUCAGCUGAAGCUGAUGUGUCUCUGAUUCCAAAGCCUGAAAAAUUUUCGUUAUAUUAUACCAGCUUUGUUACUGAAAAGAACAUUCAGGAAUGUAGUUAAUAACCACUGGUGUUCAAGGACCUGUUUUAAUUAAUAAAAAUGAUUUACAUUAAACAUUAAAUUUUAAUUUAAAAUAAAUGCAUUUGAGGCAUUGAAAAUAAUUUGUUUUCUAAAUAUGACAUUCCCACAAGUUUUAUACAUUAUGAAUUGCCUUUAAAUAUUCUCCCUCUUCUAGUCCUUAGACACUGAGGAGUAUAUGUCAACCCAUUUGACAAGGUUCAAAUUAAUGCAUUUCCUGAAUUAUCCAAUCUAAAUUAAUGAGGUUGUUCAUAUGGACCACAAUAAUUUCAGCAAUUUCUUCUAUUUUUUUUAAUCUGUGCUGUGGUUUAAAUCUUUUCUCUUGACCUGUCUUUUAAUUCACUAUCCCUAUUUUCUGGUGUGUUUAAUCUGCUGUUAAAUCCAUUUAUUGAGUUCUUAAUUGUGGAUAUUGUAUUUUUCAAGCCAAUAACUGCCAUUUGAUUAUUCCAUAUAGAUUUCAGCUCUCCAGUAAAAUAAUUUAUCUUCUGCUCUAUUUUCUUCAACAUAGUAAUCACAGCUAUUCUAAAGUCAUUGUCUAAUAAUUCUAAUACCUAGUUCUCCAGUGAGAUUGUUUACAUUAUCUUUUUUAUUUUUGGUCUUGGGUUUUGGUUGUAUAGUCCUAUCAUAUCACAAGACAAGUCACUUUUGAUUGGAUAAUGGACAUUGUUUACAACAAUUGUAAAAGCUUUGGAUGAUGUUAUCAUUUUCAUCGAAGUUCAUUCUUUUCUUUGCUAGACAAAGUGAGAGCAAAUCCUCUUAACUCAAGGAUUGAACCAAGUCAAGGCUGGAUGACUUUUAGCUAAUGCUCAGUCCAUUUCUAGCUUGCUAUUUUACCUAUGGUUUUGUGCCCCAGGACUUUCAGCUGAGAACAUAAUUUGUUCACCAUGACCCCAAACCCUUGAAGGUCCUGAAAUCUACCUUCUGUGUUCUGUGAAGCUGAAAAAUUCUGAUCUGCAUUUCAGAUGUUUUCAGAUAUUAUUUAUGGUCUUCUGCACAGUGAAAUUUUCAAAUGUGGAAAAUGUCUUGGGAAGAAAAAUGAUGUGGUUUUGAAAAUCCUCAAGAAUCUGGUUUUGUCUCUUCGGCCAGCUUAGACUGACAAAUGGUAUGAUGCCUUUGUCCUCCAGAAAGGCCCUUAUCCUGGGCAAAGCUUACCUGUUCUCAGCCCCUUGUCUGUGCCCAGAACAAGCAAGUUCUGGGAACACUGGUUACAGGUUGUCAUCUGCUGACCUCUCUAUUGCUAGAUCCUCUCUGGAAUCUUAGACCCUGUAUCCUGAUUUCUUCAGUAGCUCACCGAUGCCUUUAAAUUUAGAAGUUUUACAUUUUGUCUGGAUUUUUUUGUUAUGUAAAAGAUCAUUAGCCUACAGAAAACUACUCCAUCUUAUCCAGGUCCAGAAGUCUCACAUCUGUGGGCUCCUAAACAAGAGAUUGAUAGAAUAAAAUUUCUAUUUGCCAGAUGGAUAAAAGAAAAGAAACUGGGCAAGAUGCAACAGACCUUAACCAUGUUGGCAGAGGCAGGAAUUAACAGAAACAUAGAACUCUGAUAAUGUUAUUUUCAAUCUUUAUAACACCUCCAAGGUAGAUAUUCUUGGCCUCCCUUUACAAAUUAAUUUACAAGAUGUACAUUAUUGUAUUUACUAUCCCCAAAGCCUAGGUAUCUUCUGUGUGGUAUAGUGGAGCUUUGUCCAAAGUAGCUCUGACAUCACUAAGCCUCAAUUACUCGGUCUGUCAAAUGAGAAUAAUAAUAUUUGUUUCAUAAUUCUGACCAUUGAAAUAAAUACAUAUGAAAGCAACUCAUUAAUUACAAAGAGAUAUAUAUUUUAAGGGCAACUGGGAUACAUAAAAAUGAAUGUUAUAAAGGGAGGCAUUUUGUUGUUUUUCUUUUUCUUUUAAAAAAGAGAUAGGGUCUCACUGUGUUAACUAGGCUGGUCUUGAACUCCUGACCUCAAGCCAUCUUCUUGGCUCGGCCUCCCAAAGCACUGGGAUUAUAGGGGGAAGAAGGGUCUUUAAAAAAAAAGUUCACAGAUCCCUGGAAACAAGAGGCACACCACACCACACAGGGCUACCCAGGGAACUACCAGCAUCAGUCAGGAGACGAGGGAGCAAGGGGAAAAUGUAGCUAACAGUCUUUAUUGUGAUUUCCCAGGGAAGGAACAAGCAAUGCAGGGUUAACAGAUUUAGAAUUGGCAAGUUUGGAUAAUUUUGGCAGGCACUAGGGGCAUUGGGCCCUUUCCUAGUUGUCAGGAACCUGGCCUUCAGAUGAUUAGGGCAGCAGGAUAGUGGGUCAGAGUGUGAGAGCCUAAUAAACUAGGUGGUUAGGGGUAUGGACUCUGGGUGGUUUGGUUUACAAAUGACAGAUGCAUUGCCUGGAAAAUUGUUUGCCAUCUUUAGGAAUAGGCUAACCCUAAAGGAGGUAGUCCCUCCAGGGUCAACUAGCCUCCAAGAUGCCCAAGCAUCCAAACACAGCAAAAAAAGACAUGAUUAAGACAGUAUAGAAAUAUAAGUGGCAGUUAUCUUUCUUAAGUACCAAUAUUCUACUAAUUCUGA